rnacentral:rRNA from 1 species
UACGUAGGGUGCGAGCGUUGUCCGGAAUUAUUGGGCGUAAAGAGCUCGUAGGCGGUUUGUCGCGUCUGCUGUGAAAACGCGAGGCUCAACCUCGCGCCUGCAGUGGGUACGGGCAGACUAGAGUGCGGUAGGGGAGAUUGGAAUUCCUGGUGUAGCGGUGGAAUGCGCAGAUAUCAGGAAGAACACCAGCGGCGAAGGCGGCACUCUGGGCUGGUAUUGACGCUGAGGAGCGAAAGUGUGGGUAGCAAACAGG